AACGAACGCUGGCGGCAUGCCUAACACAUGCAAGUCGAACGAGACCUUCGGGUCUAGGGGCGCACGGGUGCGUAACGCGUGGGAACCUGCCCUUAGGUUCGGAAUAACUCCCCGAAAGGGGUGCUAAUACCGGAUAAUGUCUUCGGACCAAAGAUUUAUCGCCUUUGGAUGGGCCCGCGUUGGAUUAGCUAGUUGGUAGGGUAAAAGCCUACCAAGGAGACGAUCCAUAGCUGGUCUGAGAGGAUGAUCAGCCACACUGGGGCUGAGACACGGACCAGACUCGUACGCGAGGGAGGAGUGGGGAAUAUUAGGCAAGGGGGGAAAGUCUGAUCAAGCAAUGCGGGGGGAGUGAUGAAGGCCGUAGGGUUGUAAAGCUCUUUUACCCGAGAUGAUAAUGACAGUACCGGGAGAAGAAGCACCGGCUAACUACGUG
rnacentral:rRNA from 1 species